AUCUUGCGGGACGUGGACGCAAGAAAAAGGAGAGUGAGCCGGAGCCGGAGUUGGCAGGCGUGGAGUGUAGGCCGGACGGCGGCGCCGGGCGGAGGCGGUGAGGCAGCUACCUUGGUCAGUGACCACCUUGCAGUAUGUUGAGUCAAGUCUGCCGCUCUGGGUUCCAGUCCUUCACCCAGCAUCUCCUGCCCUGGGUCCAAUCCACCACACUCUCCAGAUCCGAUUUUUCUGGAGCCUGGAGCCCGCAUGUUCACUGACCAUGAUAAACAGAAGAGCAGAAAAGAAAUAAACAGGCAGAGUGAGAAGCAUAUAGAUUCAAACAGAGGGCAGUGGAAGGCCAGGAGGGGAGAUAGAAACCAUGUCAGGAUCCCUUCCUGUUUAGACCUGGAACACGGCCUCAUUGAUUGCUGAGUAUAAGGAUUCUGAUUCUGAAAAGGUCAAGGGCUUCUCCUCCCUUGGAGUGUGUGUGGCACUUUUGAGGAAUAUGAACAGCCCUCCCCCAUCACGAAUGCACACAUGUACACCUGAGUAUCCCUUCAUGUAUAAACAGGAGGUGCCUUUUCAUUGAGACUUAGAGUUUCCUUAGAAGAUAGGAAGAGAUUACCCAUCCAGAAGCCUUGGAUUUUUCCUAAAUAAUCAAGGCUUUUUCAGUCCUUCAUAUGGACCCUAAAAAGUAUACUACCCGACAGAACAGAAGAAAUGCCCUCAAGAGAGGUAGGGUCAAUCUGAGGGGGUGAAAGUAUUGUUGAAUAGAAAAUCCAGAAGAGCCCUGGACCCCAAAAAACUCUUCUUGGUAUGAUACACACUGAAUGUGACUGAGAUUUUACUUGCUUAAAACUUUGUUCAUAGAUGUGGCCUCUUCUUGAACUGUAUCAGCUCUGAUCUGAUAUGACCUGGUUGCCUGCCACCAGAAUAACCCUUGACUGCCUGGCAUCAGGCCAUGCCGCCUUUCUGUGCUGAUAUAGACCGUGGAUCAGGAGUCUCAUUCAUGCUCACCUGGCCUGUUCGAUUCUAAUUGGUUUGAUCACCUGGACUGACCUGCUUGCCAUCAUCUGUGUCCCUGAGGUGCCCUCUCAGGCUGCCGCACCCAUGGUCAGUACUUUUGCAGGCCAGGACAUUCCCUGCAGUGCACAGGAGAGAAAAGUGACCAGCAGGCCUUGUCCUGACAGCUGUCAAAGAGAUGUAUGAUAUUUCUGCAUACAGCCAGUGAUGAUUACAGGUCCAGACUCCAGGGGAGUAAGUCUUUCCCUCUACCAUCCCUCCCUCCACCAGGUCAGCGUGGCCAAAAACAUUAUGUGUAACUUUUAAACUUAGACUUAGGUAUAUUCAUUGCAUAGGCUGAUACCCCUGAAGACUGAGCCAGCAUAUCUAUAUUGAUCAACCUAAUGAAGAAAGAGAGCUCUUCACCGAACAGCCCAGCCCCUCAGUCUCUGGGACUCCUCCAGCAGGAACGAGUCUAGCAAAGGUGCCAAGCUCCAGUUCUAUCCCAGAUGAUGGAUUUACUGAGCAGCUCUCUGCCUGUUGUGAAAAAAGAUCAUGUCGUCUUUCUUGUAUCUCCAACACACUUGAAACACAGUCAUUUAAAGAAAAGAUUAUUUAAUAGAGGGAAGAAAGAACCCUUCAUGACUUUGUUUAAGAUGUUCUUUCUCAGAUUUGUGUGUGAAGGAGGCAGAGAGGGAAGAGAACACACAGUGAAUCUUCUGGUUCACGAGAAUAGGACUCUACCAGCUUUACCACCUUUCUUUUUUUCCUUGGCUGUACCUGCAGCAUGGGGAAGGUCCCAGGCCAGGGAUUAGACCCAUUCCACAGCCGUAACCAGAGCCACAGCAGUGACAAUGCCAGAUCCUUAACCUUCUGAGCCACAAGGGAACUCCUACCCACCGUUUUUGUAGCAGAGAGAGAGACAAUGGAUGCUGUGUUACAGUUAGAGGAGUCAGUUAUCAGGAGAUAGAGGCACUGGGUAGAGAAAUUCUGAGAAAGCUGUCUGUAAAUAUAAAGGGAGGUGAUAAUGGUUGACUCAAGUGGAAGAAAAGUUACUCUGUGAUAGUGCAAUUAUAGAAUGGCAGCUUGGAAAGAUUAUGUUGUAAUUCCUUUCAGUAUUUAUUAGCGCCUGUAGUGAUACAUAGGUAACGCCUUGUGGGGGGAAGAACCUAAAGUUUUGUCCUGCAGAGAACAGAGAAUCAGGGAAUCCCACCAAGAAGUCCAUUUACUGUGAGUAAGACCACCCGUUAAAGCUACUGUCCUCAGGAAUUCCCUUCGUGGCUCAGCAGUUGACGAACCUGACUGGCAUCCAUGAGGAUGCAGGUUCAAUCCCUGGCCUCGCUCAGCAGGUUAAGGAUUCAGUGUUGCCAUCAGCUGUGGUGUAGGUCGCAGACGCAGUUUGGAUCCCAUGUUGCUGUGGCUCUGGCAUAGACUGGCAGCUCCAACUCUAAUUGGAUCCCUAGCCUGGGAACCUCCAUAUGCUGUAGGUGUGGCCGUAAAAAGACAUAGAAAAAAAAAAAGCUGACGUCCUCAGUCAGCCUCUCCUCUCCUUUCCAGGCCUCACCUGUCCCUCUACCUGUGCACUCAUCUUCCCCUAUCACUUAUGAUUGCAAGUAACAGAAAAGCCCAAAAAAUAAUGGCUCAACAAGAUCGACAUUUGGAGUUCCCUGGUGGCUUAGUGGGUUAAGGAUCUGUCACUGCUGUGGCUCAGUUUGCUGCUGUGGUAUGGGUUUUUCCGUGGCCUCGGAACUUCUACAUGCCCCAGGAGCAACCAAAAAAAAAAAAAAAAAAAAAAAAA
rnacentral:lncRNA from 1 species